rnacentral:sRNA from 1 species
AUGAGGAUCUGUGUAUUAAAAAGGAGGAUCUGUGCAUUUUCUUCCUCAAAAGGAGCUUAACUGGACAAAUUCAUCGUUGAAGCAAAGAGGGGGUUAGGUUCGUGGGACAGAGAUCAGCGAGUUUCUAAUUUGAUGACUAAAGAAGGGGUUGUAGCUCAUGUACAAAGGAGAAGGCAAGAUUUUGUGACUGGGUUCACAGGAUGAUGGAGAUCGGCAUCGCAUGCUUGCAGACGACGCACGCACUAGAGACGGGACUAGCAAUCCUCUAGUUUUUUUGGGGUCUCACUAAGAACAGCUAGUGAAGCUGUUAGUCGGUGUGAGUCCGACUUAGUGUCAUUAAACUUAAUCCUGGUGCAGACCAAACAAGGGACUAUAGUCUAGUCCAGUCCAAUUCUUCCUAAUCCGGUCAAACAAACGGGCCCUAUAUGUAUUAAUCUAAUUAAUGCUUACUUUUGGUCAAUAUGCUACGAAUUGAUCUAAAACAUUAAAUUCAGUAUUAUUAAAGACUAUGUAGGGCUUAGUGGGCCUAUAUUGGUUAGUGAGUUAUCCCAG